rnacentral:rRNA from 1 species
GAUGAACGCUGACAGAAUGCUUAACACAUGCAAGUCAAAUUAGGGCGGACGGGUGAGUAACGCGUAAAGAACUUGCCUCACAGUUAGGGACAACAUUUGGAAACGAAUGCUAAUAGCUGAUACUGUGAGAGAGCUUUGCGUCCCAUUAGCUAGUUGGGGAGGUAACGGCUCACCUAGGCGAUGAUGGGUAGCCGGCCUGAGAGGGGGAUCGGCCACAAGGGGAUGGAGACACGGCACUGACUCCUACGGGAGGCAGCAGGGGGGAUGAUUGGACAAUGGACCAAAGUCUGAUCCAGCAAUUCUGUGUGCACGAUGAAGUUUUCGGAAUGUAAAGUGCUUUCAGUUGGGAAGCGGUACCAACAUAAGAAGUGACGGCUAAAUACGUGCCAGCAGCCGCGGUAAUUC